UUUAUACAUCUAGAAUACCAAAAUAAGUUACAAUUUGGAUUAGAGGGAUCGACCAGUGAUAUACAUGCAGACAAUCUCACACGUUUGAGGACCGAUGACGUGUAGUAUGUGUUGUGCCACUUACAGGAAGACACAAUGAGCAAGCUAAAAAGUAACAAGUGCAUGCGAUAGUCCAUUGCAAACACGCAUGCAAUAAAAAAACAUAUGUGUGUAUGUAUUGAGGCAGAGGUAGUGGAAGGUUGUGGGUAAUAACUAAUAUGUAUAUGUAUAUGUAUAUGUAUAUGUAUAUGUAUAUGUAUAUGUAUAUGUAUAUGUAUAUGUAUAUGUAUAUGUAUAUGUAUAUGUAUAUGUAUAUGUAUAUGUAUAUGUAUAUGUAUAUGUAUAUGUAUAUGUAUAUGUAUAUGUAUAUGUAUGCUUGUUGAUCAGCGGUUCAUGACCUGCACCCUUCUAUGGUGUCGCACCGGCGGGUGUAGACGUAUCAUCGGCGACCUCGUCGGGGCCGGGGCUGGGGCGGACCAGAUCCUUGUUCCGCUUUACUGCCAUGUCGUUGGGCCCCAUGUAGUCGAGAUGCAUGGAUGCAUCAGCGUCCUGAACGACGACAGUGCUCAGGAGGAGGAGGGCAACCAGGGACAGGCC
rnacentral:lncRNA from 1 species